CCGCCAUGAGCUUAUCAGGAAAGAGCGCCAGCCUUCGAAGCUGGUUGCGCGGAGUUCGGGUCCCCGAUGGCGGUCCA
rnacentral:tRNA from 1 species